CAGAGUAUCAUGCCCUCACGGGUAGAUCUCCCACCCUUGUGUAUUUAUACCAUGUUGCUUUGGCGAGCCGCGUAGUUUCGGCUAUGCCUUGGGCUUUCGAGCCUAAGUGUGCUCGCCAGAGGAAAACUAAACUCUGAUUAUUUUUGUCGUCUGAGUACUAUAUUAAUAGUUA
rnacentral:misc_RNA from 1 species